CAGCAGCCACGGUAAUACCGAGGGUGCGAGCGUUAAUCGGAUUUACUGGGCGUAAAGCGUGCGUAGGCGGCUUUUUAAGUCGGAUGUGAAAUCCCUGAGCUUAACUUAGGAAUUUCAUUCGAUACUGGGAAGCUAGAGUAUGGGAGAGGAUGGUAGAAUUCCAGGUGUAGCGGUGAAAUGCGUAGAGAUCUGGAGGAAUACCGAUGGCGAAGGCAGCCAUCUGGCCUAAUACUGACGCUGAGGUACGAAAGCAUGGGGAGCAAACAGGAUUAGAUACCCCCGUAGUCCCUGUCUCUUAUAC
rnacentral:rRNA from 1 species